GUCAAAUAUUAUGUCAGUCAGGAUGGCAAUGGUAAAACUCAAGGAUUACCUUGCACCUUCUCAGUAAUUUACCAUUGAUCAUAUGUAUUACAAGUGGCUGGGUUGUUUUUAACACAAGCAACGUAUUUUAAAUCAUUAUCUUAAACAGAUUAUGGCUCAUUUUGGACUACACUUACAUUACUUUACAACUGCUUAAUGCAGUACUGAUGUAUCUAGUAGUUAGUGGGUUUAACUAAUGUCACAUCUGUUUUUAUUCAUUUUAGAUGCAGAAACUUUUGACAUAUGAAUUCAUCUUGACUAAGGAACUCUUCACAGCACUGCAUCUGAACAGUCACAACCUCACAGAGCUGCACAACUGCCCCACUCAAGAUCACUGUUGAAGCUGGAACCUCAUCUUGUGUACAGCAAAGGCAGAGCUGAAAAUUCACUGUUUGUCUUGUAUUGUGUGUGGCAAAACCUGGAAUAACACAUGGGAGCCCUCCAGGAAUUGCUGACACUUUAC